AAUGAACGUUGGCGGCGUGGAUUAGGCAUGCAAGUCGAGCGAGAACCCGCAAGGGGGACAGCGGCAAACGGGGUAGUAACGGGUAGGCAACGUACCCUCGGGUCGGGGAUAGCCACGGGAAACUGUGGGUAAUACCCGAUAAUCUCUGCGGUGGUAAGUACUGCAGAGCAAAGGUGUGAUUCCACCGGAGGAGCGGCCUGCUUCGUAUUAGCUAGUUGGUAAGGUAACGGCUCACCAAGGCGACGAUGCGUAGGGGGUGUGAGAGCAUGACCCCCACCACUGGGACUGAGAUACUGCCCAGACACCUACGGGUGGCUGCAGUCGAGAAUCUUCGGCAAUGGGCGCAAGCCUGACCGAGCGACGCCGCGUGUGGGAUGAAGGCCCUUGGGUUGUAAACCACUGUCAGAGGGGAUGAAAUGCGGGAGAGCUAUCUCUUCCGUUUGACAUAGCCUCAGAGGAAGCACGGGCUAAGUUCGUGCCAGCAGCCGCAGUAACAC
rnacentral:rRNA from 1 species